UACGUAGGGUGCGAGCGUUAUUCGGAAUUACUGGGCGUAAAGUGUGCGCAGGCGGCAAGGCAAGUCGAGUGUGAAAGCCCCGGGCUUAACUUGGGAAUUGCGCUCGAAACUACUUUGCUGGAGUGUGGCAGAGGAAGGUGGAAUUCCACGUGUAGCGGUGAAAUGCGUAGAGAUGUGGAGGAACACCAAUGGCGAAGGCAGCCUUCUGGGCCAACACUGACGCUCAUGCACGAAAGCGUGGGGAGCAAACAGG
rnacentral:rRNA from 1 species